UUCAAACCUAGGAGGUUCCCACCACCUUAUCACGCCGCAAUGGCCGGACCCUGAGGCUGGCAGGUCCUGGCAGGUGCUGGCGGGACAGAUGUGGCCUCAGAUCAUGGCCUCUGGAAGGCUAGUGGGGUGGAGGCAGCAUCCACCG